rnacentral:rRNA from 1 species
AUGUCAUUUACUGCACUCGUUCUUUUUGAUACUGGUGCAUCGCAUUCAUACAUAUCAAGGGGACUUGUGGAUAAGUAUAAACUGCCAACCCAAGCCCUUAGGUCGCCCACGUUAGUAACCUCGCCAGGAGCAGAAUAUAUGGCUAGUCUAUGGUGUGAUCGGUUACCAUUAAGGAUUGGUAACUACGUGUUUCCCUCGGACCUAAUAGUAUUGGAAUCGCAAGGAUUGGAUGUGAUAUUAGGCAUGUAUUGGUUAUCGAAGUAUGGAGGGAACAUUGAAUGCGCUAGUAAGACGAUUUUGCUCACAACGCCAGAAGGAAGAAGGAUCAAGUAUGUAUCACGGCAUGAGCCGAAGAGGACUCAGGUAAAUUCCUUAUCGGGAGUUGUGCAGGAGGAAGUACCAGUGGUGAAGGAUUUCCCUGAUGUAUUUCCAAAGGAGUUGCCAGGCAUGCCACCGGAUAGAGACAUUGAGUUUUUGAUUGAGCUUUUGGGCAGGCACAAGGCCAAUAUCUAA